GUGAGGAAUAUUGCGCAAUGGGGGCAACCCUGACGCAGCAACGCCGCGUGAGUGAGGAAGGUUUUCGGACCGUAAAGCUCUGUCGAGCGGGAAGAAAUGCAUGCUGGCUAAUAUCCAUCAUGCUUGACGGUACCGCUAGAGGAAGCACCGGCUAACUCCGUGCCAGCAGCCGCGGUAAUACGGGGGGUGCAAGCGUUGUUCGGAAUUAUUGGGCGUAAAGAGCGUGUAGGCGGUUGGACAAGUCAGAUGUGAAAGCCCUGGGCUUAACUCAGGAAGUGCAUUUGAAACUGUUCAGCUGGAGUAAGGGAGAGGAAAGUGGAAUUCCUGGUGUAGAGGUGAAAUUCGUAGAUAUCAGGAGGAACACCGGUGGCGAAGGCGACUUUCUGGCCCUAUACUGACGCUGAGACGCGAGAGCGUGGGUAGCAAACAGGAUUAGAAACCCUAGUAGUCC
rnacentral:rRNA from 1 species